rnacentral:rRNA from 1 species
GAUGAACGCUGGCGGCGUGCCUAACACAUGCAAGUCGAGCGGUAUAUACUUAAGUGAGACUUCGGUCGAGCGAGAGUAUAGAGAGCGGCGGACGGGUGAGUAACGCGUAGGCAACCUGCCCCAUACACAGGGAUAGCCUCGGGAAACCGGGAUUAAAACCUGAUAAUGCGAAGGAUCUACAUGGAUCUUUCGCCAAAGAUUUAUCGGUAUGGGAUGGGCCUGCGUCUGAUUAGCUAGUUGGUGGGGUAGCGGCCUACCAAGGCAACGAUCAGUAGCCGACCUGAGAGGGUAAUCGGCCACAUUGGAACUGAGACACGGUCCAAACUCCUACGGGAGGCAGCAGUGGGGAAUAUUGCACAAUGGGCGAAAGCCUGAUGCAGCAACGCCGCGUGAGCGAUGAAGGCCUUUGGGUCGUAAAGCUCUGUCCUUGGGGAAGAAAAAAAUGACGGUACCCAUGGAGGGAGCCCCGGCUAACUACGUGCCAGCAGCCGCGGUAAUAC